rnacentral:misc_RNA from 1 species
CAUGCCUGUUCGAGCGUCAUUUCAACCCUCAGGACCUCCUGGUGUUGGGGCGUUAGGGAAACCUAAGCCUCAAAGUCAGUGGCGGGCUCUGUCACACACCGAGCGUAGUAAUCUCUCGCUUAGGGGUGUGUCGGGGCGCGGCCUACUUAUACUUUUAUCAAGUUGACCUCGGAUCAGGUAGGAAUACCCGCUGAACUUAA